rnacentral:tRNA from 1 species
GGGAUUGUUGCUCAGUGGCAGAGCACUUGCCUCACAAGUAUGAGGCACUGAGUUCCGUCCUCAGCACCA